GUGCCCGUAGCUCAGCUGGAUAGAGCAACAGCCUUCUAAGCUGUGGGUCGGGAGUUCGAAUCUCUCCGGGCACGCCA
rnacentral:tRNA from 1 species